rnacentral:rRNA from 1 species
GAUGAACGCUGGCGGCGUGCCUAAUACAUGCAAGUCGAGCGAACAGACGAGGAGCUUGCUCCUCUGACGUUAGCGGCGGACGGGUGAGUAACACGUGGAUAACCUACCUAUAAGACUGGGAUAACUUCGGGAAACCGGAGCUAAUACCGGAUAAUAUAUUGAACCGCAGGGUUCAAUAGUGAAAGACGGUUUUGCUGUCACGUAUAGAUGGAUCCGCGCCGCAUUAGCUAGUUGGUAAGGUAACGGCUUACCAAGGCAACGAUGCGUAGCCGACCUGAGAGGGUGAUCGGCCACACUGGAACUGAGACACGAUCCAGACUCCUACGGGAGGCCGCAGUAGGGACUCCUGCGCGAUGGGCGAAAGCCUGACGGAGCAACGCCGCGUGAGUGAUGAAGGUCUUCGGGUCGUAAAACUCUGUUAUUAGGGAAGAACAAAUGCGUAAGUAACUAUGCACGUCUUGACGGUACCUGGUCAGAAAGCCACGGCUAACUCCGUG